UCUUAAAAUGUAAUAAUAAUAAAAAAAAAUAGCAAGUGAAGUACCCCAGAUGAAGCCGUUAAUAUAUUUCAUAUGCAAGCUGUGAGAGACUAGCUUUAUAAUAACUGUGAUAUCCUCCCACCAAAUUUGUCUAUCGUCUGGGUCAUGGUAUAUUUGAUGGUUAAGGGGGGCCCUUUUAUAUGGGUGCCCCUCUCACAGAAUUAUGGGUCUUUUUAAGAAGGCUUAUCAAAUCUGUCCCUCAUAUGCCUUAAAGAUGCAACUCCCUGCUGGGAACCCAAGUCUUUUUCACCAGAAAAAUUAAAGUGGUCUGGGGUUAAAAAAGACUUCUGGGGACCAGAACAUAAAACAUACAGAUUAAUAGAAUUAUAAAAUGUAAGAUGUUUAAACAAGCUCUCUGUGAGGUAGUUGUAACCCCUUUUACCUAAAUGUCUUAUGAAAAUGGAUAGUAUAUCUAACUGUGGAAUGUUUUCCUCUUUCUAGUACUGUAAAGCUGAAGACAUGUAAAUCUGCUCAUGUAAAUCCUCCACUGCAUAGUCUUUUGUUUGGAGCAUUUAUGGGGCUUAUGGUAAAAACCGUGUGUACUUUUCAGUAACAACGACUGAGCUAGAGAAUUUCUACUUCGUGGGGCAUUUACUGCCUUGCUGUGGAAUAUUAACUGGAGCUACCCCUAUACUAAUGGGAAUAAUGUUUUCCAAAAAGUUCCAUGGUAAAAUAAAAAUGGUUUACAUAAAAUCUUGCUAUAUAAUAAGCAGAGAGCCUUUUUCUAGGACUAAUUGUAAGAAGCUGCUAAAUUCUAUAGUGCCAAAUAGCUCUCAUGAGCUGUUUGGUUUGUAAAUGACAUUUCCAAGGUAAACAAACAUCUUGUCUUAAAAGCUGCUGCUCUGGUUAAAAGAGGGUCAAGACAUUUUUUUUUAAGUUAUUUGGAAAAAGUAUGUUUUUGUAAGCAAAUUUACCUUUCUGAGUUCUCCAAAAUUCAGAUUGUGAUUUUAUAACAUUAUAAUUGUCUGCAUUAGUUUAAUGAUAAUUAAAAAAUAAUUGUUUUAAGGGAAAAGUGUGACACUUAAUACUAGAUUUCAGUCCUAACUUUUUAAGUGCAGAUUAAAUUAUUGUUCUUGGCUACAAUAAUCCUCUAGAAAGUACCAGAUUGUAAUUUUUCUUCAUAUUUUUAGUUGGUGCCCUAAUAGAAUAGGGCACCUUUCUAUUUCCUUUUUCUGUUCUAACAUACAAAUUAUUCUAUAAUUGUCAAACUAUAAAUGUUAUUUAUCUCUCCUUGUUUUACUUCCAAGGAAACCAAAAUCAUGGUAUUCUGAAGACCAGAGAUAUGAAUCUCCUUCAUUUGGCAUCCCACCGGCCCCGAUCUGUUUCACUGCUAAUGUUCUGCUGCCAAAACUAUACAAGCUGCCUCACCCCUAGGCCCAGGGACUAUCACAGAAGAGAGCCAAUAAAACUUUUCUUUUGAGUGAUUUGCAGCUUUUAACAAGUAAGUAAAAUAUACUCCUGUGAACAAAAUUUGGAGCAUAUUUGUUUCUCUCUACCUGAUUUCUCCAGAAUUUGGAAACUAUUUACUGAACCUGCUUAUUUCUGUGAACCAACCAGUGAUCUCUUAUGGCUGUUCAAAAGUAACAAGAGAGAUAUCACCUUUUGUCAUAACUCAAGUCUUAUGAAUGGCCCUCACCAUAAUGAUGCUUUUUGACUGAGCUCUUCUCUAACCUGAAUGCAAGAGGUUAGGCAUGAAUAUCAUCCCCCCUGUUCAGCCUGAAGAAGUUACAGAAGAUGAAUCUUCCACUCUCUACAGCCCUUAGGAUUAAGGGUUCUCUUACUGAAUGUAUUCUUAAACUGAACACUUAUUAAUCUUCCAGAUAUCACCUUUUGUCAUAACUCAAGACUUAUGAAUGGCCCUCACCAUAAUGAUGCUUUUUGACUGAGCUCUUCUCUAACCUGAAUGCAAGAGGUUAGGCAUGAAUAUCAUCCCCCCUGUUCAGCCUGAAGAAGUUACAGAAGAUGAAUCUUCCUCUCUCUACAGCCCUUAGGAUUAAGGGUUCUCUUACUGAAUGUAUUCUUAAACUGAACACUUAUUAAUCUUCCAGAUAUCACCUUUUGUCAUAACUCAAGACUUAUGAAUGGCCCUCACCAUAAUGAUGCUUUUUGACUGAGCUCUUCUCUAACCUGAAUGCAAGAGGUUAGGCAUGAAUAUCAUCCCCCCUGUUCAGCCUGAAGAAGUUACAGAAGAUGAAUCUUCCUCUCUCUACAGCCCUUAGGAUUAAGGGUUCUCUUAUAAAAGGGAGGGGGUAAAUAUGUCAGAGGCAUUUGAACCAGAGAAACUCCAUCUUGAAUAGUCCCUGUGUAAAAUAAGACUGAGACCUACUGGGAUGCAUUCCCAGGAGGUUAGGCAUUCUAAUUCACAGGAUGAGAUAAGAAGUCUCCACAAGAUACAGAUUAUAAAGAUUUGGCUGAUAAAACUGUUUGUGAUAAAGAAGCUGGCCAAAACACACCAAAACCAAGAUGCCAACAAAAGUGUCCUCUGGUUGUCCUCACUGCUCAUUAUAUGCUAAUUAUAAUGCAUUAGCAUGUUAAAAGACACUCCCACCAGUGCAAUGACAAUGUACAAAUGCCUUGGCAACAUCAAGAAGUUACCCUAUAUGGUUUAAAAAUGGUAGGAACCCUCAGUUCUGGGAAUUGCCCACCCCUUUUCUGGAAAACUCAUGAAUAAUCCACCCCUUAUUUAGCAUAUAAUCAAGAAAUAACUGGAAGUAUCCUUAGUGAAGCAGGCCAAGCCACUACUCUUCCUAUGGAGUAGACAUUCUUUCAUUAGUUAACUUUAUUAAUAAACUUGCUUUCACUUUA
rnacentral:lncRNA from 1 species